AGUCUCACGGGGAGGGGCCAGUUGACCUCACGCUGGUCUGGACUCUGCGGCCAUUUAGCCGGUUCCCUUUUCAGUGGAGGCCGCGCUGCAUUCCAAGUCCUCGAGGUGGGGGGAGCGGUACUUCCCGGAACUUGAGGAAGGGCGUUUACUCAGCUGAUAAAGCCAACUCCAGCGUGAAAUUGAGGGCCUCCAUUACCGAAGGAGAUGCGCGCGCCCGUGCCAGAGCCCCAGCCUGGAGACCUGAUCGAGAUUUUCCGCCCUUUCUACAGACACUGGGCCGUCUACGUUGGCGAUGGAUAUGUGAUCCACCUGGCCCCACCAAGUGAAAUCGCAGGAGCUGGUAUGGCCAGUGUCAUGUCUGCGCUGACCGACAAGGCCAUAGUGAAGAAGGAUCGGCUGUGCGACGUGGCCGGGCGAGACCGGUACCAGGUCAACAAUAAGCACGAUGACAAGUACUCGCCGUUGCCUCCCAGCAAGAUUGUCCAGCAGGCAGAGGAGCUGGUGGGCCAGGAAGUUCUCUACAAGCUGACCAGCGAGAACUGCGAGCACUUUGUCAACGAGCUGCGCUACGGGAUCCCCCGCAGUGACCAGGUCAGAGAGGCCAUCAUGGUAGCUGGCAUCGCAGGAGUGGGCCUGGCAGCCAUAGGCCUCAUUGGAAUCAUGUUCUCAAGAAACAAGAAACAAAAGCAAUGACUUGAAGGGACUCUCUUGUCGGCAGUGAAUUUAUACAUUAAGGGGGCCUUCUUUGCUAGAGGGUUUGAGGUUUGGUUUGUGGAUUUAUUCUGUUUUACAAUAAGGCUUAUUUUCACAGAAUAAAAUAAAGCCCAAUGAAGGAGGAUUUUAUUGGGGGAAGUGCAGCAAGAACUGCCUGGCGUGGUCUGUUGAGGGUGCAGCUACGCUCUGUUCCUGAUGAUGCCAUGUUGUUCUCUGCCUCUUUGGUGAUUUUCUCUCACUUUCUAUUUGUGGGCUGCAUUCUUCACGUGCAGGAAACAAAGUCCAACUCCGGUUAUCUCAAGUAAUGGGGGCUUCUAGUGGUGAGGAUACAGGUGGGCAGCAAGGGAGACAGACAAACCUGACUGAUAUUCAAGAACAGGAACCACUGCACACCCAGGACCUUUGGCCUGGAGCUAGACCCAGUCUGGCUUCCAGGACUUAGUAGCUGGAGUCUAUGUCCGUGGGGUUCAAACCUCAGCCAUAAGGAAAGACUAUAUGCUCUUGCCAGUCUUGUUAAAAUCUCCUUUAUCUCCCUCUGAUCUCCACAGCUUUUCUCAGCCUUAUCACUUCCACCCCGCAGCACUCCUACGUCCUCUCCACUUGGGCUGUCACGACACCCCUCCCCCCCACCGCCAAGUCUCUGAUCCCACACCCGCUCCUGCGGCUUCUCUCCCCACAUCUGCUCAGUUUCAUCCCUCCCUGUGGCCUGCGAGGUGCUCCCAACGCAAGCUCCUGAGAGAGAAUCUGAUUGGCUCAGCUCACCACACUUAGCCUACAGAUUGAUUGGCUGCCAUUGGGUCAGGUGGCCCCACUAGGCCAAUCAGCUCUGCCCAGUGGGGCCAGGUCUCGUGGUACAAAGUUGCCUCGGGGCUUUCGGGGUGGGAGUGUGGCUCAUCCCAUGCCUGAUGUAGGUGCAGCUGAGCCCUCCCGGGAGGGUCUGGGGGCGAAGGGACGAUCCUUCAUGGUUGGUCCCUUGAGGUCUCCUGGUGUUGCUCGCUGGGCUUGGCAGGUGUUCAAAGUGACCAUUUUCCUGAAAGGGGCUUUUGUGGGUUCCUCAGAAGUACCCUGUUGGGGCUGACUGUCCGUCCCUCCACAGGGCACGUCUUCUCUGUCUGCUUGCGAAUGUUUCCUUCGUCAGCCCUGGUUGUCUGGGGACCAUCAGUCUUUUGGAAUCCUGGACAGGACUUACAAAUGGCUCCUGGCCAGCUCCCUCCUGCUUGGCCCACAUCUGGUCCAGUAUUAGCUUGUGCCCAUUCAUGUCCCAGCGUUGAUGUAAGAGUAGUGUCUCCCAGUGUAGUUUUCUUCCUUUUUGUUUCAGUUCUGUUGAUGUCCCAUGUCGUGCCAGUUCUUAAGCUCCCAAACCCAAGGGACACAAGGUCCAAAUUAAAGGGUGGUAUCUUUUUUUUUUUUGCGGUACGCGGGCCUCUCACUGUUGUGGCCUCAUCCCGUUGCGGAGCACAGGCUCCGGACGCGCAGGCUCAGCGACCAUGGCUCACGGGCCCCAGCCGCCUCCGCGGCAUGUGGGAUCUUCCCGGACCGGGACACGAACCCGCGUCCCCUGCAUCGGCAGGCGGACUCUCAACCACUGCGCCCCCAGGGAAGCCCAAAGGUGGGUUUCUUGAAGCCCACUCUGUCGCAUGGCAUAAGGUGAUGCAGAGGCGUGGAGCAUAAACCUCCAAACUGAUUGUCGAGUAAAAAGGAAUGAAGUAGAAUAAACACAAGAAAGCAAAACUAAGACACCCAGUUCAAUUACAAAAUAAACAUUACAUACAGAAAGUGGGGUGUGUAGAAAUGACCAGAGAAGACGGAAGAACUAAUUCCAAAUAUAUUGGUAAUGACCAUAAGUAAAUAUGGACUAAAUUUGCCAAGUAUAAGACAAAUAUUAUGCUGGAUUAGACAGCUAAUCCAGGGAGUACUGUCUACAGCAGAGGCAACUGAAAUAUAAGGACACAAAAGACUGAAGUUUGAAAAGAUGGACGUUGUGCAUGAUAACUCAUCUGAUGUCUUUAAAACAUUGUUAUCGAGGAGAAAAAUUGGGCGGUGUGUAUAAACUGUCCUAGACUGAAAGACAUGUUGGAGGCAAAACAGCUAAGUGUGAAAAAACGACUAUAAACGCAAUUUGGGGUAAUAGGGAAAAUUUGAAUAUGGACUGGGUGUUUAAGAAUAUUAAGAAAUUAUGAAUUUUAUUAAGUGUGAAAAUGGUAUGAGGACUUAUGGGAAAACACAUGAACCUUAUUAAAAAAAUCGAUGCAGAUACAGCGAAUAUGACAAAACAAUAAGUUUUUAAUCUAUGUAUUGGGUAUAUGGGUAACCGCUGUGGUAGUCUUUCUAGUACUUUUUGUAUAUUAAAAUUUUUAACCUAGUAAGCAUCUGAAAAGUAUCUGAAAUUUGAACUUGAAAAUUUAAAUAAACUGAAACUUUUGAAAUUAUUUCAAAAGUUUAUUAUUAUUUUGAAUUAAUUUCAAAAUAAAUUAUAUAAUAAUUUUUUAAAUUAAAAGAAGAUAUGCUAGGCAAAUACUAACUAAAAACUGGUUAGGUUAAUACUAAUUAACUAAAAGCUGGUACAUCUAUAAUCAUAUCAGACACUAUAGGCUUUAAACCAAAAAUGAUUACUGGACAGAAAAAAGAUAAAAGGUGUGGCAUAAUAAGAAAUGCAUUUGGUCUUAUCCUUGGUUCUUGGCCAGAGCUCCUAAAACCCUUGGAAUUUCCUAAGUGAUAGGCAUGUCUUUUCCUGUUCCUAAGGAGCCCCUUUUGAUCAACCUGAGUUUGUCCUAAUGAGGAGACUUAGGGUGGGGACACUAAGAUAGCCUUAAGAUGGGGCUGGUCAUCAGAAAGACCAAGUGAUUAGAGGGCUGGAACUUUCAGGCUACUGAUCUCUAAGAAGGGGAGGUGAGGGGUGGGCAAGCUGAAGAUUAAGCUCUAUAAAAACUCUUGAUCAAGGAGACUUGAUGAGCUUCCUGCUGGUGAACAUAUGGAGGUAUCAGGAGAGCGGCUGCCGGAAGAGGGCAUGGACGGUCCUUGCCCACACAACUUGCCCUAUGCAUCUCUUCCAUUUGGUUGUUCCUGAGUUCUGUACAUUAUAAUAAACCGGUAAACAUAAUUAAAGUGCCUCUUCCUG
rnacentral:lncRNA from 1 species